UUAGCUGGUUGGCGGGGCAACGGCCCACCAAGGCGACGAUCAGUAGCCGGCCUGAGAGGGUGGACGGCCACAUUGGGAGUGAGACACGGCCCAGACUCCUACGGGAGGCAGCAGUGGGGGAUAUUGCACAAUGGGGGGAACCCUGAUGCAGCGACGCCGCGUGAGCGAAGAAGUACCUCGGUAUGUAAAGCUCUAUCAGCAGGGAAGAAGAUGACGGUACCUGACUAAGAAGCUCCGGCUAAAUACGUGCCAGCAGCCGCGGUAAUACGUAUGGAGCAAGCGUUAUCCGGAUUUACUGGGUGUAAAGGGAGCGUAGGCGGCCUGGCAAGUCUGGUGUGAAAACCCGGGGCCCAACCCCGGGAGUGCAUUGGAAACUGCCAGGCUGGAGUGCCGGAGGGGCAGGCGGAAUUCCUAGUGUAGCGGUGAAAUGCGUAGAUAUUAGGAGGAACACCGGUGGCGAAGGCGGCCUGCUGGACGGCAACUGACGCUGAGGCUCGAAAGCGUGGGGAGCAAACAGGAUUAGAUACCCUGGUAGUCCACGCCGUAAACGAU
rnacentral:rRNA from 1 species